rnacentral:rRNA from 1 species
GAACGAGAAAGGGACUUCGGUCCUGAGUAUAGUGGCGCACGGGUGAGUAACACGUGAAUAAUCUACCUCCGAGUGGGGAAUAACCUGGAGAAAUCUAGGCUAAUACCGCAUAACACUUACGAGUCAAAGCAGCAAUGCGCUUGGAGAGGAGUUCGCGGCAGAUUAGUUAGUUGGCGGGGUAAUGGCCCACCAAGACGAUGAUCUGUAUCCGGCCUGAGAGGGCGCACGGACACACUGGAACUGAAACACGGUCCAGACUCCUACGGGAGGCAGCAGUGGGGAAUUUUGCGCAAUGGGGGAAACCCUGACGCAGCAACGCCGCGUGGAGGAUGAAGUAUCUUGGUACGUAAACUCCUUUCGAUGGGGAAGAUAAUGACGGUACCCAUAGAAGAAGCCCCGGCUAACUUCGUGC